rnacentral:rRNA from 1 species
GGGGACCCGCACAAGCGUGGAUGAUGUGGAUUAAUUCGAUGCAACGCGAAGAACCUUACCUACCCUUGACAUGUCCGGAACUUGCCAGAGAUGGCUUGGUGCCCGAAAGGGAAUCGGAACACAGGUGCUGCAUGGCUGUCGUCAGCUCGUGUCGUGAGAUGUUGGGUUAAGUCCCGCAACGAGCGCAACCCUUAUCAUUAGUUGCUACGCAAGGGCACUCUAAUGAGACUGCCGGUGACAAACCGGAGGAAGGUGGGGAUGACGUCAAGUCCUCAUGGCCCUUAUGGGUAGGGCUUCACACGUCAUACAAUGGUCGGUACAGAGGGUUGCCAAGCCGCGAGGCGGAGCCAAUCCCACAAAGCCGAUCGUAGUCCGGAUUGUUCUCUGCAACUCGAGAGCAUGAAGUCGGAAUCGCUAGUAAUCGCAGGUCAGCAUACUGCGGUGAAUACGUUCCCGGGUCUU